UAUAGAGAAAAAGAAAAAAUAAAUUGUUUUCCUCUGUCCAGGCUUUCACUGACAAAUUUAUUUCAUCCGGCUUCUCACUUCGUCUAAUGAAUGUUCAACGCACAUUCAGCCUAAUUGUUAUUCUAUUUCCGACUUGCCUCUUCGUCGAGACUAAAGGGAUGGUGCACUACGUUUACAAUGUGCUCUUAGCCUGAGUGAUUUACUGUUUGACUGGUAAUUGUUUGGCUUGAGGAAAUCCAUAUGCUCAAGUAAAAUGAGGAAAAGUGACUGGCGUUUGAACAUGUGGGCGCCAGGCGGGAAUUGCGAAAGGCUGUCAUGUGUCACACAGCAGUUGACAGGACUCAAGGGCCAGGAGUUUGAAUCUCGGUCGGUCUUGGUUGACUCUCCACGACGACCCAAUUUCAACUCUCGACCCAGCCAUUAAAAUCAUUAAAUCGAUUAAUUGCGGCUUUACCGGUUUUUCCAAAGGACACGUGUUGGAAGCCACUCGUAUGAUUGUAUUCCUCAGGGCCAGGACACUUGAAUGUUCUCACCAUAUGGCGCCUAGACUCCAGGAGUCGAUAAAUAAUUUUAUGCCCCUGGGACACCAAGUGUCACUCCCUUCGAGAUAUUAAAUCUUCCUCUUUAUUGUUUUGUGCCACUCGGCAAUGCGAUAACUCGUAUUACACAAAAGACUGUGGACAAAGGAUAUUAUAUUGUGUGGAAGGAAAAUAAAAAGGGGCUCUCUAAUUUCGUUUACUCGUACCCCCGGAUAAAGUCACAGUAGCUCUCUAUUUUUAUGACCACCCGAGAUUAUUGCUAUAUUGAAGGACAAAAGUAGAUUAUCUCUACCGAAAAAAUCUAUUCUCACUAAAACCAUUUGGUCGAGAGGAAUAUGGAUUUUUAAAUAAAAAUCCUUCCAAUCCCUUGAAUCCCUCCAAUUACUCCCGAAUAUAAU